rnacentral:rRNA from 1 species
UACAUGGGGUGCAAACGUUGCUCGGAAUCAUUGGGCGUAAAGCGCGCGUAGGCGGUUACACAAGUUGGAUGUGAAAGCCCUCGGCUUAACUGAGGAAGUGCAUCCAAAACUGUGCAGCUAGAGUACUAAAGAGGGUCGCGGAAUUCUCGGUGUAGAGGUGAAAUUCGUAGAUAUCGGGAGGAACACCGGUGGCGAAGGCGGCGACCUGGGUAGAUACUGACGCUGAGGCGCGAAAGCGUGGGGAGCAAACAGG